AUCAAGGGACGUUUUCAUCAUCAUCAUCAACAAAAGGAAAGUAGAUACCUUUAAUAGCUUUUGACGAAUCAAAGUCACUCACGUAGAGAGAAAAGUAUACCUUGAUGAAAACAUUCUCAGCAGCUUUCUCCUCUUCGCUGAGAACUUUUCCGUUAGAGAACCUGCGAGACACAAAUCUGAAAGCGCUUCUGCUUGCCAUGGUAAUGAGCAACUAUCUUCCUGUGUAUGAUAAAACAUUAUAUAGAUUAAGCACAAUGAGCUCAAAACCGUUACAAACGAAAGAAACAAGAAUCGUAGUAUACUCAAUGCGGCAAAUCUGAGAAUCAAAGACCUAAACGAUGAUAAUAGCAAAAUGGAAUCAGAGAAGCAAAUCCAGAUAAACGAAAACAAUAUCUCAACAGCCAUCCUUAUACGACCUCGGAAACGAGAAAUGGAGGAAUCUAACAGGAGAAGAUGAUCGGAAGGGAAGAGAACCUGGUUGAUGGUCAGGUAGAUCGUUAAAGUGACGUCUGGCUGCUGAUGAAAACCGCUUACACAAAUGAAGAAGAGGUGAGGAAGCUCAAGGAGAGAGAGAUCUACAACAAGUUGAGUGGGCUAAAAGUUAUAAUUAGUGGGCCCGAAUAUAUUGUUAGUAUGGGCCUUAAAUAUACGGAAACAUCUGUCACAAAACCUACUAGACAUUGAUAUUUUAUAUAUUGAUAUUUGUUUUUCAUGUUAUAUAUUUUAGAUGAAUCAUAAUAUAACUAAUUAUAUUCAAAAGACCUAAACCAAAUAGGUAUAAAUAUCUGAAUCCGUUCAGAUACAUUUGUUAUUUAUAUAUUUUUAGAUUCAUAUACAUCAUAACCGAAUUCAUCCAUAUCAAGAAUGAAUCAACUCAAAAUUCACACAUAAAUUUAUAAUAUUAAAGUAGGUUCUAAUUUCAAAAAAAAAAAGAUACCCAAAAAGAAUAACAUGUACUUAAAUGUAUAGUCAAUGUUCAUGCCUAACUAGUUUUAUAAAUUAAUAAAAAGAGCUUUUUCUAUGUGUUUGGAUAAAUUAAAUGAAAUAUAUAUAGUUUUUUAUUUAGUAAUAUAAUUAUAUGGAUUGAAAAAUUAAUUGACAAUAAAUGCAAUGCAUUUUUAUUUUUAUUUAUUUAAGUUAUUAUUUUAUUGACAAAAACAUGUAUCUGAAUUAUGUUUUUGGCUAUAUAAUUUUCUACCGAUUGAAACUAAAAUUAAAAAAAAAAUUAGUAAAACAAACUAAACCGAACGUAGAAAUUUAUAUGGAUAUACUAUUGUACGUAAUUUUAUCCAUUAAGUAACAAUUUGAUUCCAGAAACUCCUAGAUGUAAAAAAAUUUGUAUUAUUAUAAUAUCUGUCAUUUCUGGAAUGAAUCUCUCAUUUAAGCGAAGGGAAAAAUAAUGAAUCUGAAUCUCUCGUGCUUCACCAGAAAGCAGUUUUGAUUGUUUCCCAAAUUAGUUAUUACCCAUAUGCACUUGCUUGAAGAUGAUUCAACCUCAAAAACAAUUUUUGAAUUAUUUACUAAAACAUAGGUGAAAAUUUUAACUAAUCCAGUAAAUCUUUUGGUUCAACUUUUAGACUGUAAAACUCUUCCUCUUAUAAUAUAUAUCCUUUUUAAUGCUUUUGUAAAACUAAAUAUAUAUGAUUUCAUAUUUUUGUUUUUUUUUUGAAAACAGGCCUAUGAUUUGAUAUUUUGUUUCAUUUAUAUAUUGGUUUAUAUAGUUUUCAAGAUUAACAUUAUAAUUAAAUUUGGUUUAUAAUUGGAUAACUAAAACAAAUAAAUGUGGUAAAUACAAUGAGUAUAUAAAAAAUCACUAUAAGUAAAACCGUGGUUAAUCAUAACCACGACAAAUCUGUGAUAAAACAGGUCAGUGACUAGAUAUAAUCAUUAUUAUUUAUAGACAAAUUGUGGCAAUAGUAACUACAAUUAAACAAUGAAGAACAGUGGCUACUAUAGCCAUAAUAUAAGAGUGAUAAAUUGUGCCACGUAAAUUUGGCUGCUACGUGACCACUGACUAGAUGUUGUUACUGCAUAGCUAAAUGUAGUUACAAUAUAAAUGUUUACACAGUUUUUGAUAGCCACAAAGCUAUAACUACAAUUUUUUUUGUUUGAAACCGUAGCUACUUUCCAUAUAACCAUGAUUUUCGGCUUUGUAGCCACAAUUUUAUCGGAGCCAUAGAAGACAUUUUUACUAGUGAACCAGACACUUAUAUUUAUGCAAAGAAAUGCAAACCCAAGGCGAGUUAUGGCAUGUUUCAACGACUAGACCACAACACAUGUUAUGUAUUAUGUAUUAUGUCAAGUCAUAUCAAUAUCCAUAUCAAUUGACUUGUGCUGAUAAAUAUGUAUGUAUAUAUAUAAUCAACAAUUGCUUUUCCCAGAAGUUUCAGCCACGGUUGACAGUACUCCCAUAUUUUACUGUCUCCUCCACAUUACAAGAAGCCUUCCGUUGCAAGCACUCAUCUUUCCACAUGAAACAUCUUUAUUCUGUCUUUUCCUUUUCUAAAGAAAAAAGAAAAAUUAUUAUUACCUGUUAUUUUCAGUUUGAUCUUCAUGAAACCCAAGUGCAAAUUACAAUAUCCUUCUUCUGUUUUGCCUUCAACUACACACCUAACAUUUAUUUUCUAAUCUCGACCCAAUCCAUACAUGUGCCAGCUUUAUCUAUACAUAUCUUUGUCUUAUCUAUGGAUUGGGAACCAAACAGUGAGAAUAACAUUUUAGCUACCUAUAUCAAAUAUACCAAACUCAAGAAAAUUGUUAAUUACCAAUUGAAAAGAAACAUCUUAACCUACUAGAGCUUUAGCCCCACAUGGUAUUCCUUUCUUUUCUUUGAACCAAGUUAAUGUUAAAUUCAUAUUAAAAUUAAUUUCUUUGACCUCUUAAGUAGUCUAAGUUAGAUGUUUAAUCGUUAAUGGGGUGUUGGCCACGUGGGCCAUUUGGUCAUUUGACAUUCGAAACACCAUUAACAAGCUAAAGAAACAGAAGCAACAUAUUAAUGAAUUGUGAUAGGCUCUUAAGGCCAAGUCUUGGGUUAUAUAACAAGGCAUCUUCUUUACAGAAGGAGAGAAGAAAGAUCUGGAGGAACAAUGACAACAACAAGACAGAUGUUGGAGCAGCCACAAUCACCAUUUAUUCAACGUACCAUAAGCAUCAAUGGAAGUCCCAUGGUAGAUGACAGAGAGGAGGAGCUUUCACGCUCUGCUUUAGCUUUGUAUAAGGAAAAAGAAGAUGAGAUUGAAAGGAGGAAGAUGGAGGUCAGGGAUAGGGUCCAGAAAAAGCUUGGACUAGCUGAGGAAGCUACUAGGAGAUUAGCCGAGAUUCGGGAAGUAAGUUUUUUGGUUUAAACAUUUUCAAGAACUUUGAAAAAUCAUAUUUAGAGAGUUGUGGUUGUACAAAUUUUCAGGAGCUGGAAGCUCUUACCGAUCCAAUGCGUAAGGAGGUUUCCGCGAUAAGGAAAAGAGUCGAUGCUAUUAACCGAGAACUCAAGCCAUUAGGACAGAGUUGUCAAAGAAAGGUAAUGAAUGAAUGGGUGAAUGUCCAUUAAUCUUAUCUUUCUUGAAGAUUCCUGUCUGAAUGAUAUUUUUUCUUUGACAGGAGAGGGAAUUCAAAGAAGCACUUGAAGCAUACAAUGAAAAGAACAAAGAGAAAGCUAUGUUUGUUAGCAAGCUAGUUGAGGUGAAACAUUCUGUCUCAAUUUUUUUUUGUAUUUUCUGUUUAUUAUUACGAUUGUUGUUUUUCUGAUUCUUUUUUUUUUGGGUGUGAAAUGUGUUCAGCUUGUUACUGAAAGCGAGAAACUGCGAAUGACAAAGCUUGAUGAACUCAGCAAAAGCAUUGACGUUUCCUUACGCUAACACAAGAUGAUCAGCCAGCUUUGCAUAUUUCUUUUGCACUUUUUUUUUAAUUGUUUGAUAUUUGCUUUUCUUUGUGAUCAAAUCUGAUUUCCUGAUUUAGUUCUUCAGUAUGAAUUCACAUUCUUAUGUUUUCAUGUGUUGUGACAAUGUUCCAAAAAAAUUAGGCUCUUUUAUUCCUCUGGCCUUUCAAGUUUGUAACCGGUCUAUAAAAGCAAAUUACCUCUCAGGCUAUCUAUCUAUACUAUUAUUUGCGAAUUAAAUUUUUAGAAUCGAGCUCUCACGUUAAAAGUUAGAGUGGUUUAUACCUUAAUGAAUAAAAACAUAUAAAUAAAUUAAAAAAUAAAAACGAAAUUUUAAUUGAUUUGAUUAGAUAAUUGAUUAAUAUUAAUAAUAGUAAGAAUUAUCUAAAAUCUGAAAAUAUAAUUUAAAAAAAAGAUAAUUUAUGUAUAUAUUGUAUUAUUAUCUGAAAAAGUCUUUUAGUAAAAAGUUAAAAACAUAAACUAUAUAACUAAAUAUUAAUCAAAUACAAUUCUUAAUUUUAUAAUUAAAAAUAGAAUAUGAAUUAUCCAAAAUCUAAAAAUAUAAUUAAAAAAAAAGAUAUUUAUAUAUAUAUAAGUCUCUCUCUCUCUCAACUAAAUAUCUGCAGAAUUCUCUACUUGAAGAGAGAUUAUGCCAAGAAUGUAUGGAGCGAGCUCUCAUGGACAGACAAGAUAAAGAAGUGAGACAAACAAGUAUACACAACUUCACUGUGUCUUUAAAGAAGUGAGACAAUACACACAGUUUUUAUCCUAGAUUCGUUGGAAACUACAAGAAGCGAAAAUUAGUACCAAAAUGGAGUUAUUCUCACAACAGGAGAUAUGAAGCCAAGAACACAUAUCUCAUGAUAUAUGAAUCUUAAUAGGAGUCUGUCUCUAUGCAGAUACUUUAUAACAAGAAAGGGAAUAAGCAUACAGACGGUUAACACAUCCUUCACUUGAGUCAAAAACAAGGCCAAGGCACAUAAAUUGGUAGAAAUUGAAAAAAAAAAAUGAAAAAAAAAGUCUCUCCCGUGCAGACAGUCUUAUUUUUCUAAAAUUGAAAAGAGUAAGUAGUAUCCGGGAGAGGUUAUAUCAUACAUUCCUUACAAUAACAAUGUUCGAAAUCACCAUUUGGAUUGAUAAGAUAAGAAACCCAACUAAAUGGAAGUAAUAACAUCUGCCAAAACUUGUAAGAGGGUUCCAUCAAACAUAUGGUUCUUGAAAAAAUCAAACAAAGAGGAAAAAGCCCAUCCAUCUACUACUUCAGGUGCUGCCUCUUAGAUGGGACUGACAUAGUUAGCAAAUCUACCUGUCAGUUGAAGAUGCAAACUCGUUAAUUUCGGGAAUCUAAAUAAGCUCAGACACAUCUGUUGUGUUAUCUAAAUCCAAACACAACCAGUCGGAAGCAGGUUUUGGUAGUAAGUAUUACUUACCUUCAUAAGAAGUGAGGUCAGAAGGGAGUUUCGAAACGAGGCAAGCGGCAGCGACAACGCUGUGAAACGGUUGAUGGGUGCUCAGUUCCCGCCGCAGAAACCUUUUUUUGCAGAUUCAAUUACCAAAAGUCCAAAACUUUAUCAAUGUAUUUAGAUAAAUUGGUAAGGCAAAUUGUUAUUUUACCUGGGAAGAGAAGAAGCUUCGAUUCGAGUCUGACGAAGAGGCGACGAUGUGGAGGAGUUCGGGUUAGGGACUGAGAUUCUCGGUCUAGGUGAGAUUAGACUUCUUCUUGAAGCGGUCCGUAAGAUGGAGCGUAGAGAGGUAGACGACCUAGAAGCGAUGCUCGUCGCAGCCAUUUUCUCUUCUUCUUCUUCUUCUGCUUCUGCAAGUAUCGGUAAACCCUCCUCAUUAGUGGUUGGGUUGCCGGUUCGCUAAACCGGACUACUGUAAGUCGGUUUGCGGACAAAUUCGUUCGAGAGAGAUUAUACAGGUCAAAUUUAAAAAAUGAUAUCAAAUUUAAAGUAAAAUUGAGAAUUCGGCCAAAAAAAACACGAAUUUUGAAAGAAUUAUCAAAAGAAACAUGAACUUCUGAGCUGACCAAAAAAUGGGUUCAAAAGUUCGUCUACUUAACAAUAUCUUAACUGUGGGUUCACGGUGUGCUAAAAUCGUCAGUCAAUCUUAAAUUGCUUAAUAAACUAAAAAAGUCAAAAAAGUACAAUAUUUUUUAACUAGAUUCGAAUACAGAUUGUUUUUGGCGAUUCGGAUAAAGUUCGUGUUUUUUUUAUCAAAUUCUCCUUAUAAUUCUUCGCUGUUUAAAAAAAAGUUAGAGUUCCCCUUAACUAAUCUUGAACAAAUUGUUAAAAUUUGAUUUCAGUUUAGAUUUUUCUUUUCCAAAUUAAUUCAUUUUUAUAAUUAUGGUUUGUGAUGGAUGCAAACGAGGCAAGAAAUUUUUAUUGCAGUAACUGAAAUUGAAUAGAAAAAAAUGGAAGCUUUUCCAAUAUUCACAAUUACAAGAAGACAAUUAAGAUAAAGGUAAACAGGAUUAGCUAAAGUAGCAUUCCCAAGAUCAGUUUUAGAUUCUUCUUCGGUUAUCGACUCUGGUUCUCUUCAAGUCAGGUUCUGUUUGAAGAUUCUCGCUGCUUGCUUCUGACCUCUUCUGCUUACCACUUUCUUCAAUCUUUACAAAAUGUCACACGCCAAACGACGAAAUGUUUUAGAUUAGUCAAGGAGAGUCUUAAGAGUUCACUUAUAAGUACAAAACUUGGGAAGAUUCGUUUACCUUGUUGAGUUUCUCCCUCACAGUUUUAACAGUUUGAUUCAUUGAAGAUGACCCAAAAUACUCCUACACAAUCACAGUUUAAACUCUUUUAAUCACUUCUCUUUGUUAAAAAAAAUGAAACCAACAAGAGCCUUAGAUAUAUAUCUUCAAAGUUCAAUGACACAAACGUCGAUAUUGUUUCAAAUGAGCACAUACCUGGUCAGAUGAAACUCGAGUAAUAGGAGCGUUUCUUCUAUGGAAUUGGUAAUCCGUCUCGCUUUGGUUCAAAGCCGGUUUUGCGACUUGUGAGACGCUGCUCUUGUCUCUCUGGGCUGUUCACAACAUGAAACAUAUAAUAGACUUGUCAAUCGUCUAAACAGUUUAUUAUAACACAAACACACACUUUACUUACGGUUUGAUCUUGAAAGCACUUCUUUCCUCCUAGUUUCCAACUUAUCCUUGGUGUCACUGAGGGUCUCGAACUCAGGAGCAUACGAAAUCUGGAGCCGAUUCCCCAAGAAAACUGAGUCAUCCAACUUCCUCUUUGCAAAUCUAUCAAACAUUAAACAUACCUUUAGCCACCAAACGAACUAUUCAUCUUGGAACCAAAAGUAGAGAAACAUAAAAUUUCAGACAGCUUUAGCCUCAGAACAAAAAGGGAAUUUGAAGAUCAAAAGAGAAAAAGGAAGCAAAACCUUGCAUUGGCGAUGAGACGGAACUUGAUCCAAUAGACAUCAGUAAACUCCUCACAGUCUUCUGCAUCCAUUGGUUUACAUCUAACUCAAAAACCAAAAUAUCAGAAACUGAAAGUAACAAUUAAAAAAAAAAAAAAAAGAGGGAAAGAGCAGAGUUACUCACUCUUCAACCUCUCCGUAAGUAGCGAACAAUCUCAUCAGAUCGUCACCACAGCCUAAAGCCGGUACCUUUCGUACUACCAAGUAUCUAAAACCAACCAACCAAAAUAAAAAGAUUCAAACUUUGAAGAAACAAAAUUCGAUUAGUGUAAGUUACCUUGAUUCAUCGCAGACUGUAUAAACCCUAACAGCCGGUGGAAUCUCUUUGGUUCGACCCAUCUUUUCUUCUGCUAUUCCGAAGAGAAUUUUUGAUCAGAACCCUAACAACAGACGCCCAAAAAAACAAGUCUAUUCCGUAUAUCUCGAACAAAGCAAACAAUGAGAGUUUCACCGGCGAGAAUACGAAGCAGUCAAAAUCGAGAAAGAUGAACGCUGCCUAAUAGGGGUGGGCACUUUGGCCAAUAUCCGAAGCUGCACCAGAACCCGAUUCAAAAAAUCCCGACUAAAAUCUGAACCGAAGUAGCAAAAUAUCAGAACUGAUAUUGAAUUAGAAAAGAUUGGAUAUCUGAAUCCGAACAAGUAAUAUCCGAACUCAAAUGGAUAUCUGAAGAUAACCGAACAUAUGUAUAAUUAAUCUUAUAUUUCUAGUUCAUAUUUCUUAUUUUAUAUAAAAUAUUUAUAUUGAUACUACACAUACUUUAAGUUCAUAUGAUAUAUAUACAAUUUACGGAGAAAAUAAUUUACUACUCACUUAAAAUGUAUGUGAAACUUUUUAUUUCAAAAAUUAACAAAAAGUUACGUCAAAAAAAUUUAAAACAAUAACCAAAUUAAUGCUUUUUUAGUUUCAAAAUAUUAUGUAUAAAUCUAUUAAUCAUUCAAUCUAUUAAAAAUAAAAAAAAUUAGUUAAGUGAAAGUUAUAUUUUUAAAUACAAAAAAAAAUUGAGAAAUGAAAAAUUUAAUAUAUUUUUUUCAAAAUCUAAAUAUCCGAACUCGAUCCGAAAUAACCGAAUUGGAACUAAAAAUACACGAAUCAGACUCGAAGUUCAAACAUACUCGAACAAGUUCUACAUUUCUAUACUAAAAUACCCAAAAAUCCGAAGUACCUGAUAUGAAUCCGAACACCCACUCCUACUGCCUAAUCUCAGGUUUAGUCAAAGGACGUAGUUUUCUCAGGACUGAAAAGAAAAAGAAAAAAAAAGACGAAUAAUCCAAUCAAUUACCGGUUAAAUAGUUGAACCGGGUCUAGUAUUUAAAAUUUCACUGAAUUGAACCGAACCAGUCUUCUAUUACAGUGGUUUUGGGGUUUUUGCAGAAGCUAAAGAAAAUGGCUGCAGCUAGGUCUGUGUUUAUGUCUUCCAUCUUCAGAAUCGCAACCGCUCGAAGCUUGAUCUCACCCAAAGCUAGAGUCUCCUCCACAAACACUUUUUCAUCUCUUCUCCAGACUGCAAUCGAAGUUUCCACUCCGAGGUAAUUUUCGAUUCUUUUUCGCCUGAAUUGAAUCUGCUGGAUUUAUCUGACGCAAAGUUUCAAUCUUUGAUACGUACCCACCCAGAAGCUUCCAUAGCCUCAUUGCUUCCACACGCAUCUCUGUUUCUCUGUCUCAAACCGAUGCUCAUUUCUCAACGACAGUCCCCACGCGUUCACUCAGAAGAAGAAUCAGCAAAAGAAACAAUCCAAAACCCGUUCUUGACCAAUCCAAGUUUCAAGAAACGGUUUCGAAACUCCCACCAAGAUUCACUCCCGAAGAGCUCGCCGAUGCUAUAACCCUCCAAGAAGACCCGUUAGUGUGUUUCCACCUCUUCAACUGGGCCUCUCAGCAGCCCAGGUUCAAACACGAGAGCUGCACUUACCACACCGCCAUCAGGAAGCUCGGAGCCGCCAAAAUGUACAAAGAAAUGGACGACGUCGUCAACCAGGUGCUCUCCGUUCGCCACGUGGGCAACGAAAACCUCUACAACUCGAUCUUGUACUAUUUCACCAAAGCGGGGAAGCUGAUCCGCGCGGUGAAUAUAUUCAGACACAUGGCGAAUAGCAAGAACCUGGAGUGUAGGCCCACCAUCAGAGCGUAUCAUAUCCUCUUCAAGGCCUUGUUGGGCCAAGGCAACAACUCUUACACGAGCCAUAUGUAUAUGGAGACGAUACGGUCUUUGUUCAGACAGAUGGUGGAUAGCGGGAUCGAGCCGGACGUGUUCGCUCUCAACUGUUUGGUUAAAGGCUACGUGCUCUCGCUCCACGUCAACGAUGCUCUUAGGAUAUUUCAUCAGAUGGGUGUGGUUUAUAACUGCCAGCCGAACUCGUUUACUUAUGAUUAUCUGAUACAUGGGCUGUGUGCUCAGGGGAGGACCGUUAACGCUAGAGAGCUGCUUGGUGAGAUGAAAGGGAAAGGUUUUGUUCCGAAUGGGAAAUCUUAUAACUCUCUUGUUAGUGCUCUUGCGCUCAGCGGUGAGGUUGAUGAUGCGGUGAGUUGUUUGUGGGAGAUGGUUGAGAGUGGGCGUGUGGUUGAUUUGAUUACGUUUAGGACACUUGUUGCUGAGAGCUGCAGGAAAGGGAAGUACGAUGAAGCGAGGAGAUUGUUGGGUACGUUGAGAGAGAAGAAGCUUGUGGACAGAGAUUCUUAUGACAAGCUUAUGAAUGUUCUUCGAAAGGAUUUGUAGAUGUGUUUCUAGUUUGUUGUUAUAUCGAAAAAUGUUUGGUGAAAUUUAUUUAUUUCUUUAUGCACCAUCCUGAGACCUGCUUCCAAAUCCUCGAGCCUUUCUUUGUUACUGACCAUUGACUUCACCGAUGCGAUCUGAGUUAUAAGACCAUCUGUUAAUUUAUUUUUAUUUUUUGCUGAAUGAUGUUAAUUAGAUGAUGCGACCAUUUGGGGUGGGGCAGAACUGUUAAACCAAAACAGAAUUAUAAAUUCAAGAGCAGAAAUAUAUUUUAUGCUCGUUAGAAGUUAAAACUUAUCUACUUUUGUCUUUUUUCUCAUUCUAACAAUCAGCUUGUUUCUUUAAUGAAAAAAACAAUUAUAUAGAGUUUACGUUUAACAGUUUAUGCAAGUUUAGGUGUUUACACUACUUUGUUUUCCUUUUUGACAGUAGUAAGAAACAAACAAACAAAAAACAAAAAUUGAAAAAUGCAUGCGUCACCUCUCAGCCUCGGGAGCAUUAGCUCUCCUCUCGGCCUCUGAUCUUGAAGAAAGGGCUACACUGCCAAUCGUAGGAAAAACCUCUGGUGGAGAAUCAUAUAAUUUACGUUGUACCAACCAGUACGGCAUAUCAAAAGAAGAAAACGUACACCAAAAGGAAACACGUGAUCAUGAAGGUGGUUCAAGAUGUAUAUUAAAGCAACUACUCUAUAACUCUAUUGUAGGUUGCAAUCAGCAAAUGACAGAGAGCAAAGGAAUUUUAAAAUACAAAGCAAGAAUAGUAUUUAAUCUCCUUUUCAAAAAAAAAAGUAUUUAGUCUGUUCUACUUUACGUACCAAAUAACUAAAAUAGCGAGUCCCAAAAAGAUAACCCAAGACAAGAUUUUUAGCCACAUUGGUAGCGGCCGUACACCCCGUGGGUCAGGGCCAUGUCCAUGAGGGCAACGUCUAGCCUCGGCUCCACACUGGUAGCAAAAUUCAUGACCACAUCUAACGAAUGCAAUAAAGGUUAAUCAGAUUUUAAACAUUAAACAAAUUCGAGAGGGAAGUGUGAUUAUAUAGAGAUGAUACCUGCACUUUAUGCGGAUGCAGCCUUGAGAAAGUUCAAUCAUGUGUUGACACUUCCCGCAUUGACGCCACAUCUUCUCGUCUGCUAGAGCUUUUAGCUUUCCAUCGUUUUCUGUAGGAUUUGGAUGCAACCUCUUGUAAUGGUCGCACAACAUAUUAUUAUGCCACGGAACUUUACAUCUGCUGCAAAAGGGUUCACCGCAUUUACCGCAGCAUCUAACUCCAGCUUCUUUAGUAGAUUUCCAGAGCUCCUUCUCCGACAUUAAAGCAGAACACCUAGGGUUCGGGCAAUAGAAUCUCUCCGAUACAGGAAUUGAAUCCUCUUUAAUCCUUUGUAACCAUAUGGCUUGUAGUUCAGGAGUCAAAAGAUAAGCACAGCGUGUAAAAGUCAACUUAGACUUGCAGCGAUGCUGAGGACAUCUCACAAAACCUUGCUCCAGUAGCUUUACUUCUAUAUGUCGUUUCACACACUCGGAACAAAACCAAUGACCGCAUUUAUCAACAGAAAACAUCUGAUCAGCAUUGAUAUCUUCAUCUAAACAUAUAGCGCAAGUCGUUUUCUGAGUGUCCACUUGUAUCCUUGUUUCACAAACUACUGUUUCUCUAGCUAGUUCAUAAGCAUAUCUGAUAUUUUGGGGGGCCACAAAAAUAGGAAAGCUCGAUGCAAAUUUUCUUCUGAUGUGCUGCACUUCAUUCAGUAGCAUGCCAGACAAACUUUCCUCUAGCACGGAUCUUCCCGUAAUCUACACAAAUAAAAUCUAAUUAAUAUUAAUAUUUUACCAAAAAAAAAAAACAAAUCUAAUUAAUAUUACAGUUCAUAAACUAGUAAUGCAACAUUAGUAAUGAUCCUUGUUCGAAAACUCGGCCGCCUAGCCGAUUAAUCGGCCGAGUAAUCGUAAGCCGUGUGCUCACCGUAGCGAGUUGAAGCAAUUCGGUUGGUUUCUACAGUAAACCGAGUUAUACCCGCGGAGACCGUAUUUUAAGCGCGGAAUUUCAAAUCGUUGGAAAAAAAAUCGGUCAUAUUAACUUAGUAUAAUUUGGCCCAAUAUUAAAGGCCCACUAGUAAUAAAAAAGUGAAAUCUUCACCUAUCUUUCUCUUUCCCGACAACAGAACUGGCAAUCUUUGUUAACCCUAGUUUCCAUUGCUCUUCCUCAAUUCAAGUGAAUCCAAAACAGAUAACGUGAAUCAAAUUCGUUCAUCGAUUGAAAAUCCUUAUUGUACCCAAUUCAAGGUAAUAAACACUAAAUCAUUCAUUGUUUAAUUUAUUAAAUCUUCUUUUCAAAUUGU
rnacentral:lncRNA from 1 species